GACGAACGCUGGCGGCGUGCUUAACACAUGCAAGUCGAACGGAAAGGCCCUGCUUUUGUGGGGUGCUCGAGUGGCGAACGGGUGAGUAACACGUGAGUAACCUGCCCUUGACUUUGGGAUAACUUCAGGAAACUGGGGCUAAUACCGGAUAGGAGCUCCUGCUGCAUGGUGGGGGUUGGAAAGUUUCGGCGGUUGGGGAUGGACUCGCGGCUUAUCAGCUUGUUGGUGGGGUAGUGGCUUACCAAGGCUUUGACGGGUAGCCGGCCUGAGAGGGUGACCGGCCACAUUGGGACUGAGAUACGGCCCCGACUCCUACGGGAGGCAGCAGUGGGGAAUAUUGCACAAUGGGCGGAAGCCUGAUGCAGCAACGCCGCGUGCGGGAUGACGGCCUUCGGGGUGUAAACCGCUUUCGCCUGUGACGAAGCGUGAGUGACGGUAAUGGGUAAAGAAGCACCGGCUAACUACGUG
rnacentral:rRNA from 1 species